AAUGAAAGUCUCCAGAAUUUUAAAUACCUUGAAGAGGAGCCAACGCCUGCUCCUUGGAGGCUACAUUUAAAAUAAAUAACAAUAAAAGAGGGUGAUCCAGGCUUUUGAAGUCUUUAAAGACACUAUCUCUGUGAUCUCUCUGGCACUGGUGCAGAAAGAGGACAGCAUUUCACAUUUCUGGCAAUACUAAUGACAACACAGAAACUGAAAGCAAGCAUGAAUUUCUGGGAGUAGCAUUAGGAUGCAGAGCUCCUGCUGAGCUCACCAGAUCCUUGCUCUGCACAGCUGCCUUCUCAGCUGGGGGUUUUAAAUCAGCACAGUGAGAAAAGAUAGCAAUGACCAUGAUGCAUCUUCCUCACUAUGAGAAAAAGAGGAAUAUGCAGCCCAUGAACCGGAGAGCCGAUCUGGUACUUAAAACUGAGGGCUCCUCGCUUUCUUUGAAGCCACAGAGCAUCUCUGGGUGGUAGUCGGGUAUCAAACAAACAGAGAUGCCUUUUCGCACAUGCUGGAAGCAGUCACCCCUGUUGCCAAGGAAACAUCCUCAGGCGACAAGGGUCACCUUUGGAGACAAUUGGAAGACUUCAAAAGCAGAUCAAUAGAGAAACCCAAGACCUGAACUUCCUCGCUCAUGUUGUCUCUUCUGUUAAAUGUCGUUUGCAGCAAACACUUGCUUGUGUGAUCACUAUGAACUGGGAAGUGGGAAGGCAAAAUCGACUGUGUAAUAGUACGUCCAGCGCAGCACGUCUGAGCUGUGGUCCAGGAAGCCUCGGGUUUGGGAGAGAUGUUGUAAGAGGGGGAAUGAGCAGGACCAACAGCCUAAUGAGGGACUGGCAUCCAGGUCAAACGAGAGGAGCUGCCUGUGAUGCUUUCUUUGAAGAAAAGAUCCAACUCAUUAAAGAAAUACAGAUUCUUUGCUCAUACGAGCACACGUGAUUGUACUUUGUGCAAAUCGGUGAAAUUUUCAUUUUAAUUUCGGCAAACGUUUUGUCAGGUAUGACGUUUGGACAGUUUUUGUGUCAAGGACGCACAGUUGCACUCAUUCAUUCAUUUGCUUGUUCUUCUACCAACUGUCUGUGAUCCCACACCCGGAGCCGGGGCUACUCUGGAGAUGAGGACUGAAUAGCAGCCAGUCCCCGCCUUGGAGUCUGGGGACUCCGAGUGGUGAAGAAGGUAGACGCAGAGACAGUGGAGGCACUGGCAGAGGGAACAGGGAGGGAUCCUGGUAAUUGCCUGCAGGAACGUGCGGGAAGGCUUUUGGGGAGACCCAGCGCUUUAUCUUAGCCUUGGAGGACGGAGGCGCCUUGAGCAGGGCACCCAGCACCGACAGGACGUUCGGAGCAGAGACAACAGCAAAUGCAAAGGGCAGAGAUGGGAAGAGCAGAUUUCUUGGGAGUUCUGUUGACCAAAGGUCAGGGUGCACCGAGGACAUGAGGCUCAAGAAGGAAAAUGGGCCUGGAUCAUAUAAAGUCCGUAUAGAAUAUGAAAAAAUUUAUACCUUAAUGCUAGUUUUCCAGAUUUUUCCUUUCUAACUUUAGGGAUAGCUAAGGGGCUUGCCUGACCCUACGACAAAUAGAGCUCUAAUUAGCUAGGUAUUCUUUUCUCUCCCAUUUUGCAAUCCAAUUAUUUACGAAUACCUCUGUGCUUUCAGAUGGCUUAAGGAAUCGGAACUUAUGCGACUGUUUAUUGUCUGAAGCAAGAAUCAUGAAAUCUAGGGAUAAACCCUCUUGCUAUUAAAACUCACAAUAAUACUUGAUUUAUUGAACUGCAAACGAUGGAACUUGAGUAAGCGUUAGGAUGACCUCCACUUUCAAAGUAGCUAGGAGAAUUAAGCCGUCAGUAGCCAGCAUUUCCAAAAUCAUGUAUCUGUCUUUUUUUUUUUUUGCCAGAAAAUUCAAAUGUGGCAAAUGUCGAGAGCUCUUUGGAUGACUAACAUGUUAGAUUGCACACUGAAAUGUACCUUGUUAAGUCUGCCUUUCUGAGGGACAAGAACGAAACUUUGUGUUUAAGAAAAUUUGGAGGGUGGGUAUGUUUGAGAGCUAAAGCUUUUUGGCAUCAUUUAGGCUAGCCACCUGUUCUAGCCUGCAUUUGCUGCAUAAAUUAGAUGCUCUGGGGAGAGUGUAUGCAGCUGAUUGGUCUGCCCUGUUACCAAGGCAACCAUUUUUCUCUCUGCUCUAUGACUCUGAAAGGGUUCAUAACCCAUUAGUGCUCCUUUGAGCAGGAACAAGAGAAAAUUUCUUUUUUUCUUGCCUUUCUUUCUUUCUUUCUUUCUUUCUUUCUUUCUUUCUUUCUUUCUUCUUCUUUCUUUCUUUUUUCUUUCUUUCUUCUUUCUUUCUUUCUUUCUUUCUUUCUUUCUUUCUUUCUCUUUCUUCUUCUUCUUCAAUUUCUUUUAUAAAUUUCUGGUCAAGAUGAUGGGAUUAGUAUAAUUUAACAGAUACCCUUACUGUAUGAUUUAUUCAAGCAGUACAUUUUCCAGAUGUUUGAAAGAACUUAAGUUUAAACCUAAAGGCACAUAAAUCACGGCUGAAAGGAGGGAUGCUAAUGAUAACUAAUUCUUUUAAGAAUGGAAGAUAUUUUCAAUCUCAAGUGGAGUUCAUCUGAGGUAAUAUAUGUAAAAACAAACUCUCUGCACUUAGUCUAAAAGGCAGUGAAAGAGAGGCUAUUUUCCCCAAAUUAUUUCAUCUAUUAUUCCCGUCAGGGUUUUCUCACUUUGCAGAGGUGACGAGACAUGAACGAGCCAUAAUUUAGCAAAGGCUUUAUCAGAUUCAUGGAGCCAUAAAUUCCGGGGAGUAAGUGAUCAUUUUCUGAAUGCCAAAGGGCUGGGGGCCCGAGGAGGGGGGCGGGAACAGCUGACCCCAAACCGUGGUAGUGCCAGGAAAUAAGCACGGAUUUUCAGCCACAAGUCCCGUAUAGACCUCAGCCUAUUAGUUUUAUUCUAUUUUGUAAUCCAUGUUUUAUCUUUCCUCUCCAACUCGGUAUGCUGUCCCUUUGUGUUCUAAAUCUUCAUGCAUUAAGAGACAAAACACAAACAGUAGGCCUCCCCAAACAGAUGAAUUCCUUCCACACCUACCCGGCACCAGGAAUGCUCAUUUUUUCCCAUUCGCUUCCUUCCUUGUGUCCACUCAGUGAGGCAGAUGAUGUCAGUUAUCCUGUCUUGCGAUUGAGUGGACGGAGACUCGAGCGGAUGACAUACCUUGCCCAAGGUGGCCGAGGGGGCACUCCCUUUGAUUCUAGCUGACUCUAAAACCAUGCUUUCCCACUAUGCUCUAGUGUCUCUAAAGCACUAGCAGGGCAUGUCCUUUCUGAACGUUGAAAUCUUGGGGAGAAAAAACCCAAUAGAAUAUUAAAACAUCUAAAUUAAGCUUCUUGGAGGGCUUCUACUUCUCUCAUUUUGGAUAUUUUUCAAGAGUAGAGCACAACUUCAGGCUUUUGUACAUAUUAGGAGGGAAGUCUUAAUCAGACAUAGCAAAUUUCUUUGACACUGUUUUUUUUUAAGAUUUUAUUUAUUUAUUUGACACAGAGAGAGAGAGAGAGAAAGAGCACAAGCAGGGGGAGCAGCAGAGGGAGGAUCAGACUCCUUGCUGAGUGGGCAGCCCAACAUGCGACUCCAUCCCAGGACCCUGAGACAUGACCUGGGCUGAAGGAAGGCUGACACUCAACCGACUGAGCCACCCAGGCUCCCCCUUUAACACUUCUUUUUAUUAUCAUUCUAUAAAUACUAGAAAAACUGAUUAAAAUUGAACUUUACAUGCUUA